rnacentral:rRNA from 1 species
AAACCAACAGGGAUUGCCUCAGUAACGGCGAGUGAAGCGGCAAAAGCUCAAAUUUGAAAUCUGGUACUUUCAGUAUCCGAGUUGUAAUUUGAAGAUGUUCCUUUGGGGAGGCGCCUUGUCUAUGUUCCUUGGAACAGGACGUCGCAGAGGGUGAGAAUCCCGUGUGAUGAGGCUGCUGACCUAUGUAAAGGUUCAUCGACGAGUCGAGUUGUUUGGGAAUGCAGCUCUAAGUGGGUGGUAUACUCCAUCUAAAGCUAAAUAUUGGCGAGAGACCGAUAGCGAACAAGUACAGUGAUGGAAAGAUGAAAAGAACUUUGAAAAGAGAGUGAAAAAGUACGUGAAAUUGUUGAAAGGGAAGGUUAUUAGAUCAGACUUGGUGGUGUGGGCAUACUUGUCCUCUUGUAGGGCAUUCACUGACCACGCACUGGGCCAGCAUCGAUUCGUGCGGCGGGACAAUGGCGAUUGAAUGUGGCUGCUUCUGCAGUGUUAUAGCUUUCGCUGAUACCGCCUGUGUGGAUCGAGGACUGCGUCAAUUUUAUUGACUAGGAUGCUGGCGUAAUGAUCUAAUAUCGC